rnacentral:lncRNA from 1 species
AGAGUAUGAAUCAUGUGGAACAGGUGUACUAAUGUGCUUCUUCCCCUGCUUCACAAGCAAUGGUUCAAAAAAAUCUCCCUUUGAUCUUCCAGUUUCUGACAAGGAGCUAUUAUUUCCAAGAGAUGGAUUUGCUGAGUUGUUUAACUGGAAAUUUAAUAGCUUUAGUUCUCUUUCAACUACAAAUACAGCAGAAUGUUCUCUGCUGUCUGAUGGGGUUGGUAGCGGAGCUACAGGUGGAAGAGAUCU